UGGGGAAUAUUGGACAAUGGGGGGAACCCUGAUCCAGCCAUGCCGCGUGUGUGAAGAAGGCCUUAUGGUUGUAAAGCACUUUAAGCGAGGAGGAGGGUACUGGUAUUAAUACUACCAGCUACUGGACGUUACUCGCAGAAUAAGCACCGGCUAACUCUGUGCCAGCAGCCGCGGUAAUACAGAGGGUGCGAGCGUUAAUCGGAUUUACUGGGCGUAAAGCGUGCGUAGGCGGCUAAUUGAGUCGGAUGUGAAAUCCCCGAGCUUAACUUGGGAAUUGCAUUCGAUACUGGUUAGCUAGAGUGUGGGAGAGGAUGGUAGAAUUCCAGGUGUAGCGGUUAAAUGCGUAGAGAUCUGGAGGAAUACCGAUGGCGAAGGCAGCCAUCUGGCCUAACACUGACGAUGAGGUACGAAAGCAUGGGGAGCAAACAGG
rnacentral:rRNA from 1 species